rnacentral:rRNA from 1 species
UGAGGAAUAUUGGUCAAUGGGCGCAAGCCUGAACCAGCCAUGCCGCGUGCAGGAUGAAGCAUCUAUGGUGUGUAAACUGCUUUUGUACGGGGAGAAACCACCCCUCGUGAGGGGUAUUGACGGUACCGUAAGAAUAAGGAUCGGCUAACUCCGUGCCAGCAGCCGCGGUAAUACGGAGGAUCCAGGCGUUAUCCGGAAUCAUUGGGUUUAAAGGGUCCGUAGGCGGGUCUGUAAGUCAGUGGUGAAAUCUCCCCGCUCAACGGGGAAACUGCCAUUGAUACUGCAGGUCUUGAAUUAUUGGGAAGUAACUAGAAUAUGUAGUGUAGCGGUGAAAUGCUUAGAGAUUACAUGGAAUACCGAUUGCGAAGGCAGCUGGCUACACAUAUAUUGACACUGAGUCACGAAAGCGUGGGGAUCAAACA